GGUUAAGCGACUAAGCGUACACGGUGGAUGCCCUGGCAGUCAGAGGCGAUGAAGGGCGUGCUAAUCUGCGAUAAGCGCCGGUAAGGUGAUAUGAACCGUUAUAACCGGCGAUACCCGAAUGGGGAAACCCAGUGUGAUUCGUCACACUAUCAUUAACUGAAUCCAUAGGUUAAUGAGGCGAACCGGGGGAACUGAAACAUCUAAGUACCCCGAGGAAAAGAAAUCAACCGAGAUUCCCCCAGUAGCGGCGAGCGAACGGGGAGGAGCCCAGAGCCUGAAUCAGCAUGUGUGUUAGUGGAAGCGUCUGGAAAGGCGCGCGAUACAGGGUGACAGCCCCGUACACAAAAGCGCAUGUGCUGUGAGCUCGAUGAGUAGGGCGGGACACGUGGUAUCCUGUCUGAAUAUGGGGGGACCAUCCUCCAAGGCUAAAUACUCCUGACUGACCGAUAGUGAACCAGUACCGUGAGGGAAAGGCGAAAAGAACCCCGGC
rnacentral:rRNA from 1 species